GAACAUUCUUUAGACCGCAGAGACAAGAAUGAGGUCUAAAGUGUACAUGUAGUAUCAUACAUGAAUGGAAAUCUAAAGGCUAUACAUAUCUUGCUCAGAGCAACGCCAAAAAGGGAAAGAUACUGGAUCGAUUGAUACCGAAAUAAAAGGUGGCUGUUGUUUGUUAGGACAUAUAGACUGAAGGUCACCAGAAACUAUCUUAUGUAGUCUUCACGCGCUGCUCUGACUUCAUGCUAAUAUAGCGUAAUCUCUGCGUCAAUUCUUCAAUGCUUGGAUUAGCUACUACUUUAGUUCUUUUGAUAAAACGGCUUUUACAUCUGUAGCAGCACCCCUAAGAUUAGCAAAUUUCCAGCGAAAGGACCACAUGAGAAUCACAUAUUUGUAUCCUAUAUGAAGAGAAACAGAAACCCAACAAGAUGAUAUAAAGAAACAGAGGUAUCAAAACUGUAAUUGCUAUAAGAACAGAAGUUUGAUGCAUAGGAUUUCGUAUUGCUAUAACAACAGAAGUUUGAUUACAGUGUGAUAAAAAUAACAAGCGCAUAAAGAUUGGACACAACAAAUAGUACACAACAUAAAUAAGCAGUAGAUGUACCGAAUCUUAAUACGUAGCUAAUUUAACUAUAUGGCUAAUUAGUUUGCAUGUACGAAGCAAGUUACUUUUGAUGCAACAGGAAGAGUUGCCUGUAUAUGCAACAGGAAAAUAAAUAAAACGUAUAUUAGAUUUUGAAGUAAAAUGAUGUUUUAUUGGGCCUAUGAUCCAUUUGAAUAUAGCUGUGUAUCCAUGUAUACAACACCAGAUUCCAGUAUACAACACCAACAAGUGUAUCCAUGUUUCCAGAAAAAAAAUAUUACCAAAUCUUUUGGUUGCAAUGAAUCUAAGAAAGCAAAAUUUGAACAAUAGCACCAAAAACACCAAAAGCCCGGCUCGACUACAUUUGAACAAUAGCAUUGUUGCCUUGUCAGCUAUCUGUACACUUGUAAAAUUAUAUCAAUUUUUAAAAUCUGUUUUCAAAGUACUUCUCGUCUAUGAGAAAAAGAUUCCAUUGCAAGUACCUAUAUGCACACAACAUUCAUGCAAAUAAAGAAUACAUAUUAGAGCCUUGAUCACCACAUUCGCUUCAAAGCUAGCUAAAAAAUUCAUACAGAGAAUAUAGAUAUGCAGUUGAGCCUGCAACCUAAACGUUGGGUUCAUAGAAAAGUAGAAAUUAAGGGUAACAAUAAAAAGCAAAAGCAUAUCAGAGAUGCAUCAAGUACUGAUGCAUGUAAUAUAUAUGGUCUAGGGAUAUAAAAAGUAGCUAAUUCCACAUUCAUUGACCCACAGUGUGCUUAACCGAAAAUAGUACAAUCUAUGUUAAUCAACUAAAUGGCAACUGUAGAAAGGGAAAUAGUACAAUGUAUGUUAAUUGACUAAAUGGCAAAUGUAGAAAGGGAAAUGGGGAUAAGAUGCAACCUUCAUGUCUUCAUUAGUUCAUUAGUAUCAGUCUCAUCACGAGAAGCAAGCCAUCUGGAUAAAAUCCAAUCCCCCUCACAAAAAUCUCAAUUCACCUUCCAUCUUAUGUAUAAAUAGCCAAUAGCAAUGGCUCCAAUCAGCAAUAACAGUUAAAAAGUAAGCUACACAUGGCCUGCAAGAGAAUGAUUUUGCUUCAGUCGUUGUAAAAAACAAGCUUUUGCUUAAUUUAGCUAGAUAAAAUACAGAAUUUAGAUUGCAGGCAAAACUUCACACAUCCGCUACUCCAACCAGUUGUCAUCCAUCCAAGCAAAAGAAAUCACAUCAUGGGAAAAAGAAAGAAUUUUGCCAACCUUGGUGCUGUGAGCGAGAAGAAGAUGUGCUAGCCGGUGGCUAAGCGAGCUCCAUGGAAGGGUUGGGGGAGACAAGACCGGUGGGAGUCAACAGCCAACACCAUGGCCGGUCCAAACAGAGCCACCUCGCUCGUCGGCAACCGCUCCUCCCCUCCUUCUCUGGCCGACGAGGCCCUAGAGGACGCACAUCCACCACCCCCUCAUUAGGCGCAUCUUUUUAGAAUUUUUGCAGCUAAGCACAUCAGUGAACAGAGAGAUAAGAAGAGUCAUUAGCCACUGACUUUUUUUAACUUGCUGUGCAAUAAGAAGAAAACUUGGUGAUUUUGUCCCCAAAGAGGUCCAGGAUAACCUGAUUACCAAACAGUACACUAAGUGAUUAGGCAGAAAAUCACGCAUCCUUUUUGAUGAAUUUUAGAUGCGCCAAAUGCUCAAAUCGGUAUUUGAAUCAAACAACAUCUACAAAUUUGGGACUGUUUAUUAUUUGGUGAUUGUUCUCAAGUCUAAUUCAUUAUAGAUCUAUUUGUAGGAUUAGCAUUCCUCUUCCAACCAAUAAGGCUCAGCAAUUUCCCGUCAUUUCCUUCACAACGAGCACUGCUCGACAGAGUUAAUUUUAUUAUGGCAAAAAUCUUUCAGUCACAAAUGGUCGAAAAUUAUCUAUAUGUACUUUGUAGAUACCCAACGAAAUUAUCUAUAUGUACCCAACAAUAGAAAAAACUGAGAAGUAAGCUUGCAAAUACAUAUCAUUACCAAAAAUACUUGUCUAGAUAAAUUCCAAAGAGCUGGCUACAUAGGUUCAAAAGUCCAAUAUGCUUGAAGAAGUUUAAAUACUCAUUAGAAGUAAGUGAACAAAAACAAUAGAGUAUAUCUAGAAGAGGAAUACCUAGGCUGUAAGACAUGCGUAUACAAUUUUCGCAAAGCCUGGUCAUUUGGAGAAAUCCAGACCAUAGGAGGCCUAAUGCUCCCCUUGCCGAGUGAGAAGCGCAUAAUACAAACAUGGAAACAACCAGUCAAUGAUUUAGCAACUUAUUGGCUUUGAGACUCUAGAUUCAUAACAAAUAGAUAUGCAGUUCUACAAAAGCAUAUUCUGCCAUCACUCGGCUGACUGGGUGGCGCAUUCAUUCGGGGUAGCAGGCAGGCCAAUCUGAAAUCAUGGCGCACGGUGGCACCGGAUCCUAAUGGAACUUACCUAAUGCGAUGGAUGGGAAGAGGAUGAACCGGAGAGGGAAAGAAAGGGACUGAAGGAAGACCUGUGACGGCGACGAUGCUGUCCUUCCCUGCCUCGUACCCUCUCAUAUCAGGGCCCGAAGCAGCCGCUCCCGCCUCCGUGGUCUCGCGCCCGAGCGGCGCCUCUUCGCAGCUCGACGCCGCCACCACCGCUCCUCUCGCCUCUUCAUAGGUCGACGCCGCCGCCGUUGCACUUCUCGUGCCGCCGCCGCCGCAUCCGCCGCUCCCACGCCUCGAUCCAACCGACCCCGCAUCGGCCGCUCCCCCGCGUCGAGCCAGCGCCACCGUCGCCGGGAAGCUCGCCUCCGCACCCGGGGCGGACGAGAAUGNN
rnacentral:lncRNA from 1 species